UACGUAGGGGGCAAGCGUUGUCCGGAAUUAUUGGGCGUAAAGCGCGUGUAGGCGGUUUCUUAAGUCUGAUGUGAAAGCCCCGGGCUCAACCCGGGAAGUGCAUUGGAUACUGGGAGACUUGAAUACGGGAGAGGGUAGUGGAAUUCCUAGUGUAGGAGUGAAAUCCGUAGAUAUUAGGAGGAACACCGGUGGCGAAGGCGGCUACCUGGACCGAUAUUGACGCUGAGACGCGAAAGCGUGGGGAGCAAACAGG
rnacentral:rRNA from 1 species